AUGUUCCUCUGUUUAUUCAUGGUACAUCACACGGGAGAUACACUGACGCGAAGAUGGCUCACACGAACAAACUGGGGACAGUACGUGCAGAGACGGGGGGAACACAUGCAACACAUACUACUAACCAUCACCGGAGACAAAUUAAGCACCAACAUCCAUGCAAAUGCAGGCAGGCUAAUUCUCCAUUACCAAGCGGCUGCUGACGAGCCUCCCUCCCGUCAGUUGAAGAAGCCUGACGGCGAACGUGGCGGCUGCUUUGGCUGCGACGACGACUGUUCCGGCGGCUGGGGCUUGGGAUCCGGCUUCGGGCUGGGGCCCGGGGCAGGCUUUGGGUCGGGCGUGGGCUUGGGGUCAGGCUUCGGCCCCGGUUUAGGGUCGGGCUGCGGGUCUGGUUUGGGGUCGGGCUUGGGUGCUGGGUCAGGUUUCGGCGCCGGUUUAGGGUCGGGCUUGGGUGUUGGGUCAGGUUUUGGCACCGGUUUUGGGUCGGGCUGUGGGUCUGGUUUUGGUUCAGGUUUUGGCGCUAGUUUAGGGUCGGGCUUGGGAGUCGGGUCAGGUUUCGGCGCCAGUUUAGGGUCGGUCUGCGGGUCUGGUUUGGGGUCAGGCUGUGGCGUAGGCUUGGGCUCUAGGCUGGGCUCAUGCUUCAGCCCCGGCACCCUCCCAGCGACGGCGAGGCUUGCAACAUUUGCCGCGACGAGGGCCAAGAGCAAGCACAGCGAGAAGGCAGUUGCCCUCAUCGUCGCCGCUCACUGGCUAGCUAGCUGCUCACUCAGGUCACUCUCCUUGUGUGUGUCACCGGAAUCACACUUGGCUGUGUGA
rnacentral:rRNA from 1 species